GCGCACGGGUGCGUAACGCGUAUGCAAUCUGCCUUUCACAGAGGGAUAGCCCAGAGAAAUUUGGAUUAAUACCUCAUAGCAUUACGGGAUGGCAUCAUCCUGUAAUUAAAGUCACAACGGUGAAAGAUGAGCAUGCGUCCCAUUAGCUAGUUGGUAAGGUAACGGCUUACCAAGGCAACGAUGGGUAGGGGUCCUGAGAGGGAGAUCCCCCACACUGGUACUGAGACACGGACCAGACUCCUACGGGAGGCAGCAGUGAGGAAUAUUGGUCAAUGGGCGCAAGCCUGAACCAGCCAUGCCGCGUGCAGGAUGACGGUCCUAUGGAUUGUAAACUGCUUUUGUACGGGAAGAAACACUCCUUCGUGAAGGAGCUUGACGGUACCGUAAGAAUAAGGAUCGGCUAACUCCGUGCCAGCAGCCGCGGUAAUACGGAGGAUCCAAGCGUUAUCCGGAAUCAUUGGGUUUAAAGGGUCCGUAGGCGGUCUGGUAAGUCAGUGGUGAAAGCCCAUCGCUCAACGGUGGAACGGCCAUUGAUACUGCUGGACUUGAAUUACUGGGAAGCAACUAGAAUAUGUAGUGUAGCGGUGAAAUGCUUAGAGAUUACAUGGAAUACCAAUUGCGAAGGCAGGUUGCUACCAGUGGAUUGACGCUGAUGAAAAGCGUGGGUAGCGAACAGGAUUAGAUACCCUGGUAGUCCACGCCGUAAACGAUGGAUACUAGCUGUUGGGAGCAAUCUCAGUGGCUAAGCGAAAGUGAUAAGUAUCCCACCUGGGGAGUACGUUCGCAAGAAUGAAACUCAAAGGAAUUGACGGGGGCCCGCACAAGCGGUGGAGCAUGUGGUUUAAUUCGAUGAUACGCGAGGAACCUUACCAAGGCUUAAAUGCAGACUGACCGA
rnacentral:rRNA from 1 species